AAUCUUGUCUCAGAUAUCCCACUGAACCUUGCCUCACAUAACCAGAGAGAACCUUGUCUCAAAUAUCCCAUUGAAUCUUGCCUCACAUAACCACUCCUUGAAAACCCACUCCAUCUCAGCUUUCUCCAUUGACAACCGCCCACCGCCGCCGUCACAGGCCUUGCCAUCGCCGCCUAUCGCUCUGCUUUUCCACGCACAUCUGUCUUCUUGUUUCCAUGUUCUACCUCAGAUCUAGGUCAAAUCCGCGCCAGAUCUACUCAGAUCCGGCUUUUUGGGCUGCUUGGACUACCUUUCUCUUGCUCUUUGCUUAUUCAUACUGCUUUUCAUCGGUCUUACAUUGAGAAUUAAGUUGGAUGAGAACAAGGAAGAGAGACAGAGAGGAUGAGUUCUCAUAUUUGGUGGCUAUUGGGAAAUUCUUGUUUCUAUUAUGUGUGGGAGUGUGACUUUGAGAAUUGAGAUGACAGAGCACCAGGUACUCGGGUUAUACUAUUGGUCUGUUUUCAUUGCAACUUGGUGGGUCUCAAAAAUACUAUAUAAUAUUAUAUUAGAUUAAAUUAUUCAA